GAAAUAAUGAGAAUACAACUGUCCGUUCAUCUCUAGUAACAACGCAUUUUAAUAGAUAACCUAUUUUCUUGUUGGAUAUAUAUUGGGCUGCACACACAUGUAGAUGGUGCUACAGGGGAGCAUUGAUUUGUUUAGCUAUACUUCAACAUAUUGUGUUAGUGUGAAAAUAAAAAAAUAUUAAUUGUUUUAAUUUUAAA
rnacentral:lncRNA from 1 species